AUGUGGAAGGGGGUGCAGGAAGAAUAUAAGAGAUUAACAGUGCUUUACUCAACCACCAUUUUCCUGGCCAGAGAAGCCUUCUGCAGAGCUUGCCUGAGUGGAGGUACCCAGCGGAGCCGGAGUCAAACCCUUAACCUUCUGUGGCUAACAGUUCCCCUGGGUGUGUUUUGGUCCUUAUUCUUGGGCUGGAUCUGGUUGCAGUUGCUAGAGGUGCCUGAUCCAAAUGUGGUUGCCAACUAUGGAACUGGAGUUGUGCUGUUUGGUGUCUCAGCAGUGGUGGAACUUCUAGGAGAGCCUUUCUGGGUCUUGGCACAAGCACACAUAUUCAUUAAGUUCAAGGUAAUUGCUGAGAGCAUGUCAGUCAUCCUCAGGAGUGUCCUGACAGCUUUUCUAGUGCUGUGGUUGCCUCACUGGAGUCUGUACAUUUUCUCUCUGGCUCAGCUUUUUUAUACUGCAGUUCUGGUGCUCUGCUACGUUAUGUAUUUCACAAAAGUACUGCGUUCCCCAGAAUUAACCAAGCAACAAACUCUUCCUGUUUCCAGAAUAACAGAUCUGUUACCUAAUAUUACUUGAAGAAGAACUUUUGUCAACUGGGAAGAGGCUAAAUUGACGUGGAGUUUUUUCAAACAGUUUCUUGAAACAGAUUUUGACAGAAGGCGAGCGAUAUGGGAUGACAUUUUUGAAUGUGUUGAUUUUCCAGGCAAUAGAGGAGAGUUUUUAUAUAUUUUUUGCUAAGGUGAUGGAGAGGGAAAAGGAUGCCACACUUUAGAAGUAGGACAUUGCUGUGGCUGCUGCCAUUUUGGAGUCCCUUCUCAAGCUGGCCUUGGUGGUCGGUCUGACCAUCACUGUUUUUGGCUUUGCCUAGUCUCAACUGGCUCUGGACAUCUACAGAGGGGCCAUGCUUAGCUCAGGAUCAGGUCCUGUUUUGAUGCUUUCUUACUGUCUCUAUGUCCUCCUGCUUGCCAUAAAUGGAGUGACUGUUUCACAUUUGCUGCCAUGAGCAAAGAGGAGGUUGACAGGUACAAUUUCACCAUGCUGGCACUGUCUUCUUCCUUUCUGGUGUUGUCUUAUCUCCUGACCAGUUGGUGUGGCAGUGUGGGCUUCAUCUUGGCCAACUGCUUUAACAUGGGCAUUUGGAUCACACAGGGCCUUUACUUCAUCCACCACUACUUCCAAGGGAGCAGUCACAGACCCCUGGCCGGCCUGUACCUGUCACCAGUCCUCAUUGGGGUGUUUGCUCUCAGUGGUGGGAUUACUGGUAUUUCAGAGGCAUUCCUCUGCUGUCCGCAGGGCUGGCCCACCAGGCUGGCACACAUCAUUGUGGGGGCCAUCUGCUUAGGAGUGACCCUUGGGACAGCGUUCCUCACAGAGACCAAGCUGAUCCACUUUCUCAGGACUCAGUUGGGCGGAACCAGACUCACUGACAAAAUGACAUGA